AAUCGGAGGGGUAGACGAACCAUGAGAGACGAUGGACUCUGAAAAACAAACAGGGUUCUAGAGGGGAGGGGGGUGGGAGGAUGGGUUAGCCUGGUGGUGGGUAUGUAGGAGGGCACAUUCUGCAUGGAGCACUGGGUGUUAUGCACAAACAAUGAAUCAUGGAACACUUCAUCUAAAACUAAUGUUGUAAUGUAAGGGGAUUAACAUAAGAAUAAAAAAAUUAAAAAAAAAAAAAAAAAAAAAAAAAAAAAAAAAAAAAAAAAAAAAAAAGUGGGGUGAAUAAAUUAGUGACACAACAGAAUACUAUAUAGCUGUGAAAAAUGGAUCAGUUAUAAAAGUAUGGAUAGAUCUCAGAAACAAGAUGACUAAUGGGUAUAGCAUAGGAAUAAAGAUAUAUAUGUAACAAAACAGUACUAAAUUUGGAAAGAUAUCUGCCAAAUUCAUAAAGGUAACCUUUGGGGUGAUGAAUGAGUCCAGAUGCGAGGGUGUCAAGAACAUUUAUCUAUAAUGUUCUUAUAUACAUUUCUGAAUUACAUGAAUGUGCACACUGUGUAAUUUUUAAAAAGGACAUGGGUGCUGUGGGAGGCUGGAAGUCCAUAGCCAGAGUGCUCCCGAGUGCUCACUUCUGGGUGGUGGGAAUAAUCGCUAAUAAGAUUUCCUUCUUUAAAAAAAAAAAAAGAUUUUUUUUUUUAUUUAUUUAUUUGAGAGUGAGAGAGAGCACGAGUGAGGUGGGGGGCGGGGGGCAAAGGGAGAGGGGGAAGCAGAUUCCCCACUGAGCAGGGAGCCCAACCCAGGACUCUAUGCCAGGACCCUGAGAUCAUGACCUGAGCCAAACGUAGAUGCUUAACCGACUGAGCCACCCAGGCGCCCCGAGAUUUCCUUCUUAGUAUUUCUCUGUUACUUAAAUAUUAUCUAAUGAUGAUGAUGAAAAAAAUCUCGGAAACAAGUACCAAAACUUCUGACUCCUGGUCCUGCCCAGCCCCUGACGGACUCCAGCUGUUGAAUCUCAAACUGCUCACUUGAACUUUCUUGUCCUGGACUUUCUUUUCUGUGAAUUAGGAAUUGUAAACAAGAACUUUGGAAAGCCCAUGUCUGCCACAAGGACAAAUAACGUGGUAGAUGGCAGAAAGUGUGUCGUGGACACCUUUGCGGGCCUGUGGGUUAUAAACGUGAGGACCAGACACAGAGGAGGAGGAGUGGUUUCAGGCUGUAAAUGAAGCUGAGUAGCCCGCUCAGGGCCUGUGCUGACGUGAUAGAAUGUGAAACGGAGAACGAAGAGGAGCUCUUGGGUUCACCUGCGCAUCUUCCCAGCCUGGUGCAGAGUUACACGGGUACAAGAGAGGGAGAGCCGUGGUGUAGAUUUUAUUUAUUUGAGAGAGAGAGAGAGAGAGAGCGCACACAAGCAGGAGGGAGGGGCAGAAGGAGAGGGAGAAGCUCCUCCCAGCUGAGUAGGGAGCCUGACUCCGGACUCAAUCCCGGAACCCUGGGAUCAUGACCUGAGCCGAAGGCAGACGCUUAACCGACUGAGUCACCCAGAUUUCAUGCAGCAAUCAGGCAUAACUUCAGUAAAUCGAAGGUCAUUUAAAAGUUCAAGUUCAUCUAAGCAGAUUCUUUCUUGUACUGUGUACGUGGUCACCUCUCCUUUGUCACUGCAGACACUCAGCUAGCUGUGUUCCUAGUGUAUCCGUUUCCUGACUACGAAGGAAGCGCAUGGAUAUGCUCUCAAUCAACAGGACAGAUUUCUUGUCUGGAUCUGGUUAAUCCUCAUAACUGUGAUGUCUCCGGAGCAUUCCAGCUCUACAUGGCUGUAGGGCAAGGAGGAUCUGCCGCUAAAAUUGCCUAUAGCCCAGAAGCUGCUUUACUGUGUGAACAAAAGAACGGUCAAGACCCCGGGGUUGUCUACCCUCGGGCUGGGCCGUGGUGAUUUGGGUCUGGGAGAAUUUCAAAGCAGCAUGUAGUAAUUGCUGCAUGUCUGUACAUACAGACAGAUAACCAACAUGGAUUAUCAGUGAUCCCACCAGGCUGACUUCAUUGUCAAAUAAAAGAUACCUUCAAGUAAUUGAGUUUGGAGUAUGUUUACCACAAAUGAGAAUUUGGGUAUUAG